rnacentral:rRNA from 1 species
CCUACGGGAGGCAGCAGUAGGGAAUUUUCGGCAAUGGGGGGAACCCUGACCGAGCAACGCCGCGUGAAGGAAGAAGGAAUUCGUUCUGUAAACUUCUGUUAUAAAGGAAGAAAGCCGGAUGGAGGAAAUGCCAUCCGAGUGACGGUACUUUAUGAGAAAGCCACGGCUAACUACGUGCCAGCAGCAGCGUUAAUACGUAGGUGGCAAGCGUUAACCGGAAUUAUUGGGCGAAAGGAGGGAGCAGGCGGCAGAAAAGGUAUGUGGUGAAAGACUGAAGCUUAACAUCAGUAAGCCAUAGAUACCGGGCAGCUAGAGUGCAGGAGAGGAUCGUGGAAUGCCAUGUGUAGCGGUGAAAUGCGUAGAUAU